AGACCCGAAACCCGGUGAUCUAGCCAUGGGCAGGUUGAAGGUUGGGUAACACUAACUGGAGGACCGAACCGACUAAUGUUGAAAAAUUAGCGGAUGACCUGUGGCUGGGGGUGAAAGGCCAAUCAAACCGGGAGAUAGCUGGUUCUCCCCGAAAGCUAUUUAGGUAGCGCCUCGUGAAUUCAUCUCCGGGGGUAGAGCACUGUUUCGGCUAGGGGGCCAUCCCGGCUUACCAACCCGAUGCAAACUGCGAAUACCGGAGAAUGUUAUCACGGGAGACACACGGCGGGUGCUAACGUCCGUCGUGAAGAGGGAAACAACCCAGACCGCCAGCUAAGGUCCCAAAGUCAUGGUUAAGUGGGAAACGAUGUGGGAAGGCCCAGACAGCCAGGAUGUUGGCUUAGAAGCAGCCAUCAUUUAAAGAAAGCGUAAUAGCUCACUGGUCGAGUCGGCCUGCGCGGAAGAUGUAACGGGGCUAAACCAUGCACCGAAGCUGCGGCAGCGACACUGUGUGUUGUUGGGUAGGGGAGCGUUCUGUAAGCCUGCGAAGGUGGCCUGUGAGGGUUGCUGGAGGUAUCAGAAGUGCGAAUGCUGACAUAAGUAACGAUAAAGCGGGUGAAAAGCCCGCUCGCCGGAAGACCAAGGGUUCCUGUCCAACGUUAAUCGGGGCAGGGUGAGUCGACCCCUAAGGCGAGGCCGAAAGGCGUAGUCGAUGGGAAACGGGUUAAUAUUCCCGUACUUGGUGUUACUGCGAAGGGGGGACGGAGAAGGCUAUGUUGGCCGGGCGACGGUUGUCCCGGUUUAAGCGUGUAGGUGUGUGUUCCAGGUAAAUCCGGUUCACUUUAACACUGAGGCGUGAUGACGAGGCACUACGGUGCUGAAGCAACAAAUGCCCUGCUUCCAGGAAAAGCCUCUAAGCAUCAGGUAACAUCAAAUCGUACCCCAAACCGACACAGGUGGUCAGGUAGAGAAUACCAAGGCGCUUGAGAGAACUCGGGUGAAGGAACUAGGCAAAAUGGUGCCGUAACUUCGGGAGAAGGCACGCUGACACGUAGGUGAAGUGAUUUACUCAUGGAGCUGAAGUCAGUCGAAGAUACCAGCUGGCUGCAACUGUUUAUUAAAAACACAGCACUGUGCAAACACGAAAGUGGACGUAUACGGUGUGACGCCUGCCCGGUGCCGGAAGGUUAAUUGAUGGGGUCAGCGCAAGCGAAGCUCCUGAUCGAAGCCCCGGUAAACGGCGGCCGUAACUAUAACGGUCCUAAGGUAGCGAAAUUCCUUGUCGGGUAAGUUCCGACCUGCACGAAUGGCGUAAUGAUGGCCAGGCUGUCUCCACCCGAGACUCAGUGAAAUUGAACUCGCUGUGAAGAUGCAGUGUACCCGCGGCAAGACGGAAAGACCCCGUGAACCUUUACUAUAGCUUGACACUGAACAUUGAGCCUUGAUGUGUAGGAUAGGUGGGAGGCUUUGAAGUGUGGACGCCAGUCUGCAUGGAGCCGACCUUGAAAUACCACCCUUUAAUGUUUGAUGUUCUAACGUGGACCCGUAAUCCGGGUUGCGGACAGUGUCUGGUGGGUAGUUUGACUGGGGCGGUCUCCUCCUAAAGAGUAACGGAGGAGCACGAAGGUUGGCUAAUCCUGGUCGGACAUCAGGAGGUUAGUGCAAUGGCAUAAGCCAGCUUGACUGCGAGCGUGACGGCGCGAGCAGGUGCGAAAGCAGGUCAUAGUGAUCCGGUGGUUCUGAAUGGAAGGGCCAUCGCUCAACGGAUAAAAGGUACUCCGGGGAUAACAGGCUGAUACCGCCCAAGAGUUCAUAUCGACGGCGGUGUUUGGCACCUCGAUGUCGGCUCAUCACAUCCUGGGGCUGAAGUAGGUCCCAAGGGUAUGGCUGUUCGCCAUUUAAAGUGGUACGCGAGCUGGGUUUAGAACGUCGUGAGACAGUUCGGUCCCUAUCUGCCGUGGGCGCUGGAGAACUGAGGGGGGCUGCUCCUAGUACGAGAGGACCGGAGUGGACGCAUCACUGGUGUUCGGGUUGUCAUGCCAAUGGCACUGCCCGGUAGCUAAAUGCGGAAGAGAUAAGUGCUGAAAGCAUCUAAGCACGAAACUUGCCCCGAGAUGAGUUCUCCCUGAGACUUAGAGUCUCCUGAAGGAACGUUGAAGACGACGACGUUGAUAGGCCGGGUGUGUAAGCGCAGCGAUGCGUUGAGCUAACCGGUACUAAUGAACCGUGAGGCUUAACCUUACA
rnacentral:rRNA from 1 species